AUUGAACGCUGGCGGCAUGCCUUACACAUGCAAGUCGAACGGCAGCACGGGGGCAACCCUGGUGGCGAGUGGCGAACGGGUGAGUAAUGCAUCGGAACGUGCCCUGAAGUGGGGGAUAACGUAGCGAAAGUUACGCUAAUACCGCAUAUUCUGUGAGCAGGAAAGCAGGGGAUCGCAAGACCUUGCGCUUUAGGAGCGGCCGAUGUCGGAUUAGCUAGUUGGUGGGGUAAAAGCUCACCAAGGCGACGAUCCGUAGCGGGUCUGAGAGGAUGAUCCGCCACACUGGGACUGAGACACGGCCCAGACUCCUACGGGAGGCAGCAGUGGGGAAUUUUGGACAAUGGGCGCAAGCCUGAUCCAGCCAUGCCGCGUGAGUGAAGAAGGCCUUCGGGUUGUAAGCUCUUUCGGCGGGGAAGAAAUUGCACUCGUUAAUACCGGUGUAGAUGACGGUACCCGCACUAAGAAGCACCGGCUAACUACGUGCCAGCACGG
rnacentral:rRNA from 1 species